UGUUGGGGGUUGCAGGCAUGGGAAGUAGCUGUAGCAGUUACAGUGUCCUUGAGGAGAGGAAAAUAGAAGUACUAUGUGCCAAGCUUAUCAGAAUAACGGAAUUCCAGGGCUACAGAAAAGCAAAACUUAGAAAUGAUUAUCGUCAUAUGUAGCAACCAAUGAGCAUGGAUUGGCAACCAAUGACUGCAGAGACAAGACUCGUGCCAGCCUCGUGAACAAGGCGGAGGAUCCAAUCAUAUUCUGCGUGAUCGCGUGUACAAGAAAGUUUUUACUGUAUAUUAGUAGCGCUGAUAGAGGCAAUAAAUGGAGCUUCUUUUACCCGCAUCGCAUCGGUGUGUUUCUCCCCUCCACCUGGCCGCGGCAUUUCUGGGGACCCCGGACGUGAUCUCGGAAAGAAGGGCGGACGAGAGAAGGUGGAGAAAUCCCGGCUGCUCAAAGAAGCAGGCUGCUCAAAGAAGCAGGAAAAAUUCGUGGCCACGGCUGACUGGGAAAAGAUCGACCACGCUGGGUUCCUGCAAAAUGGGUAAAACCAUGGAUUAACCGUAUUGCUGAUUCCGACAAAGUCACUGC
rnacentral:lncRNA from 14 species